rnacentral:rRNA from 1 species
AACGAACGCUGGCGGCAGGCUUAACACAUGCAAGUCGAGCGCCCCGCAAGGGGAGCGGCAGACGGGUGAGUAACGCGUGGGGAUCUACCCAUCUCUACGGAAUAACGCAUGGAAACGUGUGCUAAUACCGUAUACGUCCUUCGGGCGAAAGAUUUAUCGGAGAUGGAUGAGCCCGCGUUGGAUUAGCUAGUUGGUGGGGUAAAGGCCUACCAAGGCGACGAUCCAUAGCUGGUCUGAGAGGAUGAUAAGACACACUGGGACUGAGACACGGCCAAGACUCCUACGGGAGGCAGCAGUGGGGAAUAUUGGACAAUGGGCGCAAGCCUGAUCCAGCCAUGCCGCGUGAGUGAUGAAGGCCCUAGGGUUGUAAAGCUCCUUCACCGGUGAAGAUAAUGACGGUAACCGGAGAAGAAGCCCCGGCUAACUUCGUGCCAGCAGCCGCAGUAACAC